GGGCACUUGGUCUAGGGGUAUGAUUUGUAAGUAUAUACUAGUAAUCACUGUGCUAUUCUCCCUUUCUAACAUGUCUUUAGUCGCUUCGCAUUCUAAAACAGUGUUUGUGAAAGGUCGUGGGUUCAAUUCCCACAGUGUCCA